GCUUCACUCUGCAAGGUGUUUAAAAAGAAAAACAGGUUUACUCAGGAUUUAUCAUGGAGUGGAAUAAGAGUGCCUCUCUCUCUAGAUGGGAACUUUGCUUCAUGGGACAUUACAGCAUUGCCUGGGGUUACUGGUA